GCAGGGGGUGCCCAGCGCCCGUAGCUCGGCUGCGCCAGGAGAGCACCCAUGGGCAUGGGCGGCACCAUGGGACGCAGACCCUGACCCUGCUUCCCCCUUGCAGCCCCAGAGCUUUGCUCUUCCAGAAAUUUGCUGUUCCAGAGCUUUGCUGUCUCCGAAAUUUGCUGUUUCAGAAAUUUGCUGUUCCAGAAUUUUGCUGUUCCAGAAAUUUGCCGUUUCUCUGGAACUGGCAGCGGGCCGGGCUCCCCGCAGCCCCUCUGAACGGGGCAGGGGGCCGGGGCGUUUGUUUUGGCACGUCUGUCUCUCUCGCAUCUCUCACUCUUCUCCUGGUUCUUGUCUCUCUGUCCCUGCCCUCCCCGUGCUGUCUUUCUGUCCGUGCCUUUCUGUGUCCCCCCCCCUCCUCCCUGCCCCGUCCCCAAGGUCAAGGUCUGGUUCCAGAACCGGCGCACCAAGCAGAAGAAGGACCAGAGCAGGGACUCUGAGAAACGCUCCACCUCCACCUCCGAGUCCUUCGCCACCUGCAACAUCCUCCGGCUGCUGGAGCAAGGCCGGCUCCUCUCCGUCCCGGCCCCCCCCAGCCUCCUGUCCCCCACCUCCCACCCCGUGGGGAGUCCUGCGGGCAGCGGGUCCGGCGUGGCCACCCCGGGAACCACCUCACCGGGGCUGGGUGGCCGCAGCAGCCCCCCCGGCACCGGAGCCUUCAGCCUGCAGAUCCCUGCCCUCGCCGCCUCCUCCUCCUCCUCCUCAUCCUCCUCUUCCUCCUCUUCCUCGGCCAGGCUGCCCGCGGCCCCGCUGUGCUUCGGGGCGCCGCUGCUGGGCAGCCUGCACGACCUGCCGAGCGCUUACGGACUGGGCAGCUCCGCUUUUGAGCCUUACACGCGGCUGGAAAGGAAAGACAAUUCUCUACCCAGCAAGAAGCCGAGCCCUUAAACGAAAACGAGUGUCAAAAGGUGUCCUCCCCCCUCCCCAUCUCCGUCCCCACGCACCCUGCGCCCCACGCGGGGCUCGUGUCGUGAGUGGGGGCUGAAGGACUUCACCAAAGGGCCGGGUGCUGUGCGUGCACGCCCGGCCCCCUCCCCAGGAUCUAAGAUCCCACCGAGGACCACACCGCCCACCUCCUCUCCCUAGGGCUGAUUCCGAGCCUGGUCACCACUGCCUGGGUUCCCGGGUGUCCCGGUGCUGCCGCGUCCCCUCCCCACACCACUGGAUCCACCAGGGCCACCUCCCCUUCCAGGUACCCCCUGGGUUUGCAGGACGAUGCUGCGGGCCAGGAGCAGCCCCCGGGGGUGG
rnacentral:lncRNA from 1 species